UACGUAGCAGCGAGCGUUGUUCGGAGUUACUGGGCGUAAAGGGUGUGUAGGCGGUUGUUUUAAGUUUGGUGUGAAAUCUCCCGGCUCAACUGGGAGGGUGCGCCGAAAUACUGAAUGACUAGAGUGCGGGGAGAGGAAAAGUGGAAUUCCUGGGUGUAGCGGUUGAAAAUGCGUAGAUAUCAGGAGGAACACCGGUGGUGUAGACGGCUU
rnacentral:rRNA from 1 species